rnacentral:rRNA from 1 species
GUCCACGCCGUAAACUAUGUUCACUAGAUCCGUGUCCCGACUUGUCGGGAUGCGAGUCGUAGCUAACGCGUUAAGUGAACCGCCUGGGAAGUACGGCCGCAAGGCUAAAACUCAAAGGAAUUGACGGGGACCCGCACAAGCGGUGGAGCGCCUGCUUUAAUUCGAUGAUAACCGAAAACCUUACCGAGGUUUGACAUGUAGAUGCAUUCUGGGUGAAAGCCCGGAAGCCUUCGAGGGUUCUACACAGGUAUUGCAUGGCUGUUGU